CUCACGAAAUCUCCUCCCGCCUCGCGGCCGGCGACAAAAUGGCAGCGCUGCCCGUCAUGUCGGGAGGGCUCCGCCGCAAGCUCCGCAGCGCCUCAGCCCCGGCGCCAGCGGGGCUCCCUCACGGCCCCGCGGGGCCGCCCGCGGCCGAGGCAGCGGCGGGAGGAGGAGGAGGAGGAGGCGGCGGCCGUGAGGGGAAGGCGGGGGAUGUGGAGAGGGGGGGGGCACCACAGAACAUGGCGCCGCGUCCUACUUGCGCUCCCCUUCGCCUCACGGAGCUCCCCCCCGGCCAUGGCGGUUCUACCGCGUUGAGUCCCCCGCCCUCCCUCUCGCCGUCCUCUUCUUCCUCCUCCUGCUCGCUCAGGAGUUUUUGAAACUCCAAAGCGCAGCUUCCGCCGCUCCGCGCCCGCCUUUGUCCCCCCCUCACUCUCCCCCGGAGCACACACACACACACACACACCGCGCUCCGCUCGGCCGCCGAGUCCCGCCGCGCUGCCCCGGGCGCUGCCCGCUGAGCAUCUGGAGAGAGGGAGAGAGAGAGAGAGAGAGAGAGAAAGGGCGCGUUCAUGAGGACUACAAAGUUACAAAUAUGGCUCCCCAGUCUCUCUUGCCUGAACACUGCAAAGAAAUGAAGACGCACUUUAAACUAAACCAUUCGCAACUCACUCGCGGUCCCUGCCUGCCUCUCCCUAGCCCAGCACCCUGCACAAAUAUUUGCCAACUAAACACGCCGAGAGAGAGAGCAGCGAGCAACUUAUUUUUUAUUUCAUGCACGGCCAGCCCCUCUGCGAGGGCAUCGCAGCCCGGCACGGGCAGGAGCGGCCCCGGGGAGCCCCCGGAGCUCCCCGGAGCUGCCCCCGGAGCGGGGCUCCGGCCCCCCACACACACAGGUAGGCACCUCAAGGGCAGCAGCGGCCCCGCCAACACCUGGCACGCUCCACCCCGCCAAAAAAAUUAAAAAAAAAAAAAUUAAAAAAAAA